rnacentral:rRNA from 1 species
AACGCGAAGAACCUUACCUACCCUUGACAUGUCUGGAAUCCUGAAGAGAUUUGGGAGUGCUCGAAAGAGAGCCAGAACACAGGUGCUGCAUGGCCGUCGUCAGCUCGUGUCGUGAGAUGUUGGGUUAAGUCCCGCAACGAGCGCAACCCUUGUCAUUAGUUGCCAUCAUUAUGUUGGGCACUCUAACGAGACUGCCGGUGACAAGCCGGAGGAAGGUGGGGAUGACGUCAAGUCCUCAUGGCCCUUAUGACCAGGGCUUCACACGUCAUACAAUGGUCGGUACAGAGGGUAGCCAAGCCGCGAGGUGGAGCCAAUCUCACAAAACCGAUCGUAGUCCGGAUUGCACUCUGCAACUCGAGUGCAUGAAGUCGGAAUCGCUAGUAAUCGCAGGUCAGCAUACUGCGGUGAAUACGUUCCCGGGUCUUGUACACACGCA